AUUGAACGCUGGCGGCAGGCCUAACACAUGCAAGUCGAGCGGUAGAGAGAAGCUUGCUUCUCUUGAGAGCGGCGGACGGGUGAGUAAUGCCUAGGAAUCUGCCUGGUAGUGGGGGAUAACGUUCGGAAACGGACGCUAAUACCGCAUACGUCCUACGGGAGAAAGCAGGGGACCUUCGGGCCUUGCGCUAUCAGAUGAGCCUAGGUCGGAUUAGCUAGUUGGUGGGGUAAUGGCUCACCAAGGCGACGAUCCGUAACUGGUCUGAGAGGAUGAUCAGUCACACUGGAACUGAGACACGGUCCAGACUCCUACGGGAGGCAGCAGUGGGGAAUAUUGGACAAUGGGCGAAAGCCUGAUCCAGCCAUGCCGCGUGUGUGAAGAAGGUCUUCGGAUUGUAAAGCACUUUAAGUUGGGAGGAAGGGCAGUAAAUUAAUACUUUGCUGUUUUGACGGUACCGACAGAAUAAGCACCGGCUAACUCUGUG
rnacentral:rRNA from 1 species